rnacentral:ncRNA from 1 species
GCCAAGGGGUGCCAGUCGUUUGGCUGGCUGAGAUCAUACCCUCUGACCUGAACAGGAUAAUGCCUGCGUAGGAAAAA